rnacentral:lncRNA from 1 species
CAUCCGUAACAAUAAUUGGGAUGGACCUGGCUCUGAUACCAUGAUAAGAAUGGACCUUGGGCCUAACUCAACCCCAAAAGGGAGCUAACGAAGUUCAAAAAGUUGUCAAGAGAACCUAAGGGGGAAAUCAUCAUAUCCAUUUGGCUCUAUUGAGCCCUUUUCACUCAAAUAUGCAUUAUUUUAAGUUGAAUUAGUUUUUCUAUAAAACCAGAGGAUCUCUAAACCUUAAGGAUGGCAAUUGGGGCGGGGCAGGGCAGGGAGGUUGCUCGUCAAACCUCCAAAUGCUAGGUUCGAACAUAUUGUUGUCGCUGUUUUCACAUGGAAUUGAAGUCAACACACAUUAAUUAAUUACACAGUCACAUCCAUGGAUCUCUCGAUGAAUAGAUAUUAAAUAUAGUAUAAGUACGACUAGUUGCAACUUGUAUAUCACUCAUGGAUUAAUUAAAAGGUUAAUUACAGCCCAAGUUCAAUCUCUAUCAUCUUCCUUCCCUAUUUUAAUUUGCCGUGAAUUUUGUGUGAGAAAUCAGUAACUUCCUCCGUUUAUUAAAAAAACUACAGUACUUAUUUUUAAUAACGUAAUAUAGUAUCAUAUAAAAUGACAUAUAUAAAGAGUAUUUUCUCCGCAUUAUCUAGCAAAAUACGGUAAAAAUGCGACAUUUACACUGAAGUGUUCCUUAGUAAUGUGGUGAUAUAAUAACAACAACAACCCAGUAUAAUCCCACUUAGUGGGGUCUGGGGAGGGUAGUGUGU